rnacentral:rRNA from 1 species
CGCGGUAAUACUGGCAGAACGAGUGGUGCCCACGAAUAUUGGGUCUAAAGAGACCGUAGCUGGUCUGUUAAGUCCACUGUGAAAUCUUGGGGCUCAACCUCAAGGCGUGCAGUGGAUACUGGCAGACUUGAGAGCGGGGGAGGUCAGGGGUACUUACGGGGUAUGAGUAAAAUCAGUUGAUCCUGUAAGGACCACCAGUGGCGAAGGCGCCUGACCAAAACGCGUCUGACAGUGAGGGUCGAAGGCUAGGAGAACGAAUCGGAUUAGAUACCCGAGUAGCCCUAGCAGUAAAUUAUGCAGACUGUGGUGUUGCCAUGGCUUCGGGCCAUGGCAGUGCUGUAGCGUAGGUGUUAAGUCUGCCACCUGGGGAGUACGGCCGCAAGGUUGAAACUUAGAGGAAUUGGCGGGGGAGCACCACAAGGGGUGGAUGCUGCGGUUCAAUUGGAUUCAACGCCGGGAA